rnacentral:rRNA from 1 species
GACGAACCGUGCGAACGUUGUUCGGAAUCACUGGGCUUAAAGGGCGCGUAGGCGACUGUCCAGUCAGGGGUGAAAUCCUGCGGCUCAACCGUAGAAGUGCCUUUGAUACUGACAGUCUCGAGGGAGGUAGGGGCGUGCGGAACUUCCGGUGGAGCGGUGAAAUGCGUAGAUAUCGGAAGGAACACCGGUGGCGAAAGCGGUGCGCUGGACCUCUUCUGACGCUGAGGCGCGAAAGCCAGGGGAGCGAACGGGA